GGGCUGGUGGUGUAACGGUGCACACUCCAUCCCAUUCCGCGCCCCGGACGGCCAACCCCAUGGCCUCCCCGGUGGUCAAAGCCAAGUCUCAUGGAGAAGUAUGGGUUCGAAUCCCAUCCGGUCCA